CUACGGGUCGCUGCAGUGGGGAAUAUUGGACAAUGGGGGAAACCCUGAUCCAGCAAUGCCGCGUGUGUGAAGAAGGCCUGCGGGUUGUAAAGCACUUUCGGUUGGGAGGACUGCUUCUAGCACUAAUAUUGUUGGAAGUUGACGUUACCUUCAGAAGAAGCACCGGCUAACUCCGUGCCAGCAGUCGCGGUAAUACGGAGGGUGCAAGCGUUAAUCGGAAUUACUGGGCGUAAAGCGCGCGUAGGCGGCUAGAUCAGUCGGGUGUGAAAGCCCCGGGCUUAACCUGGGAACUGCAUCCGAUACUGUCUAGCUUGAGUACAGGAGAGGAGAGUGGAAUUCCACAUGUAGCGGUGAUAUGCGUAGAUAUGUGGAGGAACACCAAUGGCGAAGGCAGCUCUCUGGCCUGAUACUGACGCUGAGGUGCGAAAGCGUGGGGAGCAAACAGGAUUAGAUACCCGGGUAGUC
rnacentral:rRNA from 1 species